rnacentral:rRNA from 1 species
UACGAAGGGGGCUAGCGUUGCUCGGAAUCACUGGGCGUAAAGCGCACGUAGGCGGCUUCUUAAGUCAGGGGUGAAAUCCUGGAGCUCAACUCCAGAACUGCCUUUGAUACUGAGGAGCUUGAGUCCGGGAGAGGUGAGUGGAACUGCGAGUGUAGAGGUGAAAUUCGUAGAUAUUGGGAAGAACACCGGUGGCGAAGGCGGCGACCUGGUCCGACACUGACGCUGAGGCGCGAAAGCGUGGGGAGCAAACAGGAUUGAGA